AUGACUUGGUUUCCCAGAUUACAGAAGCUCGAGAUUAUGGACUGCCCGAAACUGCUGUCAUUGCCUCCUAUCCCUUGGACUCUUGGUCCAUGCUCUGCCGAGAUAAUGGGGGUUGGAUCUGGUUUUGAGGAGCUGAGUUACUCAAAAGAACAGUGGUCUAAACUAUUGAGAUUGAGUAUUACGGGGAAGGGUGGUCAAGAUGGCAUGUUCUGGAAUAUGUUAGCAUUCUCUAAUCUAGCUGAUCUCAACGAGCGGCGCUUGAUGCAUUGCCCUCCUUUGCCAAUGCAUCAUCUCCAGAAGUUAACAUCACUGAAGUCCCUUGAAAUAAAAAAUCCGAGUAAUGUCCUGUCGCCGACCGACAGUGAGAGUGAUGUCAUAUACAAGAUACCAAUCGAAUGCCUCUCGAUCGAGUAUUGUGGUUCUGGUGAGAAGGAAUUGACACAGUUGCUCUCUCAUUUCCCAGAUCUCAGCGAGUUGGCAAUAGUUGGUUGUGAAAAGAUAACAAGGGUUGGUGUGGUGGAGCAACAGCAGCAGCAGGUGACAAGAGGAGAGGAGGAAAUAGCGUUAGCAGCAGGAGAAGAAGGUGGACUUUUGCUCUCCUCCUCCAUCACCAGCUUAAGCUUUAAUCACAUUCAUGAGGUGGAGCGCUUCACUAAGGAGCAAGAGGAUGCCCUUCAGCUCCUCACCUCCCUCCAGGACCUCAGUUUUCUAAAGUGCGGCAAGCUGCAGUGCCUCCCGGCAGGGCUACAUAGACUUUCUAGCCUCAAGACAUUGUGUAUUCAGUAUUGUGAGGCCAUCAAAUCGCUGCCCAAGGACGGCCUCCCAACAUCUUUGCAAUUUUUAUUCAUCAUUGCAUGUCCUUCGCUGAAAUCGCUACCCAAGGAUGGUCUCCCCUCUUCUCUGGAAAAAUUAAGCAUCAAUGAAUGUCCUGCCCUGAAAUCACUGCCCAGUCACGGCCUCCCAGACUCACUGCAAGUGUUAGAUGUCCAAUUUGGUGGAAACAGCGAGGAGCUAAUGAGGCAGUGCCGCAAGUUGAAAGGAAUCAUUCCAAUAAUCAGAGACUAA
rnacentral:rRNA from 1 species